UACGGAGGAUGCGAGCGUUAUCCGGAUUUAUUGGGUUUAAAGGGAGCGCAGGCGGCGAGUUAAGUCAGCGGUAAAAUUCCGGGGCUCAACCCCGACAAGCCGUUGAAACUGGCUUGCUAGAGUGGGCGAGAAGUAUGCGGAAUGCGUGGUGUAGCGGUGAAAUGCAUAGAUAUCGCGCAGAACCCCGAUUGCGAAGGCAGCGUGCCGUGCCGCCACUGACGCUGAGGCACGAAAGCGCGGGGAUCGAGCAGG
rnacentral:rRNA from 1 species